rnacentral:rRNA from 1 species
GACGAACGCUGGCGGCGUGCUUAACACAUGCAAGUCGAACGGAAAGGCCCUGCUUUUGUGGGGUGCUCGAGUGGCGAACGGGUGAGUAACACGUGAGUAACCUGCCCUUGACUUUGGGAUAACUUCAGGAAACUGGGGCUAAUACCGGAUAGGAGCUCCUGCUGCAUGGUGGGGGUUGGAAAGUUUCGGCGGUUGGGGAUGGACUCGCGGGUUAUCAGCUUGUUGGUGGGGUAGUGGCUUACCAAGGCUUUGACGGGUAGCCGGCCUGAGAGGGUGACCGGCCACAUUGGGACUGAGAUACGGCCCAGACUCCUACGGGAGGCAGCAGUGGGGAAUAUUGCACAAUGGGCGGAAGCCUGAUGCAGCAACGCCGCGUGCGGGAUGACGGCCUUCGGGUUGUAAACCGCUUUCGCCUGUGACGAAGCGUGAGUGACGGUAAUGGGUAAAGAAGCACCGGCUAACUACGUGCCAGCAGCCGCGGUGAUACGUAGGGUGCGAGCGUUGUCCGGAUUUAUUGGGCGUAAAGGGCUCGUAGGUGGUUGAUCGCGUCGGAAGUGUAAUCUUGGGGCUUAACCCUGAGCGUGCUUUCGAUACGGGUUGACUUGAGGAAGGUAGGGGAGAAUGGAAUUCCUGGUGGAGCGGUGGAAUGCGCAGAUAUCAGGAGGAACACCAGUGGCGAAGGCGGUUCUCUGGGCCUUUCCUGACGCUGAGGAGCGAAAGCGUGGGGAGCGAACAGGCUUAGAUACCCUGGUAGUCCACGCUGUAAACGGUGGGUACUAGGUGUGGGGUCCAUUCCACGGGUUCCGUGCCGUAGCUAACGCUUUAAGUACCCCGCCUGGGGAGUACGGCCGCAAGGCUAAAACUCAAAGGAAUUGACGGGGCCCCGCACAAGCGGCGGAGCAUGCGGAUUAAUUCGAUGCAACGCGUAGAACCUUACCUGGGUUUGACAUGGAUCGGGAGCGCUCAGAGAUGGGUGUGCCUCUUUUGGGGUCGGUUCACAGGUGGUGCAUGGCUGUCGUCAGCUCGUGUCGUGAGAUGUUGGGUUAAGUCCCGCAACGAGCGCAACCCUUGUUCACUGUUGCCAGCACGUUAUGGUGGGGACUCAGUGGAGACCGCCGGGGUCAACUCGGAGGAAGGUGGGGAUGACGUCAAGUCAUCAUGCCCCUUAUGUCCAGGGCUUCACGCAUGCUACAAUGGCUGGUACAGAGAGUGGCGAGCCUGUGAGGGUGAGCGAAUCUCGGAAAGCCGGUCUCAGUUCGGAUUGGGGUCUGCAACUCGACCUCAUGAAGUCGGAGUCGCUAGUAAUCGCAGAUCAGCAACGCUGCGGUGAAUACGUUCCCGGG